rnacentral:lncRNA from 1 species
CUUUGCCCAGGUGCUCACACUAGCCAUGGGAGAGUGUUCUAUUCCUGGCUACUCCAGGCCACCAGGCAGCAUUGCUGCUGGCACCUGGGUGGCCUGCUUUAUCCCUUUGGCUCUUGUUCCUAGACCAGGCCUUUGUCUUGCCUGCAUGCUGCUCCACUCUCCAUCCUGGCUGUACCACACUGCAGGCUCUUAAAAGGCCUCCAGCAGGUGGGUUCUCCUGCCAGGGAGUCUUUUGUUCCCUUGGCUUACGUGCAUGCCUUUGCCUUUCCCUCACAGUGCCUGAUGCAUACCCACCCUGACAUCCUCCCUUAUGUCCCAAUCAUGGGCUAGAUGUUCAUAAUAGCUCCCCUGUACUAGUCACCUAUACUUUCUGUUCAUGUGUCUGCCCAGGAGCCCAAGCUCCACUCCAAGAGCUCCCUGUCAAUUUUUCUCUUAUUUUUCCAUUUUAUGGGUGCUUAUGAAAUGAGUGGGAUUAAACACAUUUUAAAGAUGGCCAAGGAGGAAUGCAGGAAUGUCUUCUUGAUCUAGAUAGUCAUUAAGUUCCCAUAGUCACUUUUUACAACCCUCUACAGGAGACUGGUAUGUCCUUUAUUUGAAAUAAGAUGGAAUUAAUGUUAAGUUCUUACUAUGUGCUAGCACUGAUGGCAUGGCACUUGAACUAAAGACUGUCAGGCAGAAGUCCCCCACCUAUCACCUCUUUUUGGUGCUGGGGAUUAAGUUCUCACGCAUGUUAGGCAAGUGCUCUCCCACUGAGCUACAUCCCACUCCUCUGUGUAUUAUUGAGGCCACAUUGCACUGCAAGUUUUAAAACUUGGCUUAAAGAUGCAUCAACAAGGUCACUCAUCUCUGAUAAUGUGAAGUCCAAGAUUGGUAGCAGAGGGCCUUUCCGCUCUGUUCUCGUUUUGUAUUUUGUCUUAAAGCUUGUUGCCCUCAUCAAAAGAACUUGCCCUCUGGAUUGAUACCACUCUGAGCAUCAAUCCAGAUAUGACAAAAUCUACAAGCAGGAAAGGGAUCACCUACUUUUGUCCUUUGAAGAAUAAGGAAAAUGCAGAAGUUCCUUCUAACCAAAGCUGACUUACUCUGUAUCUGAUUAGUCGAAUUGCUUCAUGCACCCAUGUCUAUUUCAGUAACUGGCAGAGGAAGUGGGGCUGCUGUGAUUGGUUGAGAUCAGCCAGGAAAUAGCCCUGGAGCUGGGGCUGAGGGUGGGUUUUCCUGAAGCAAAUGCUGUGGCCUACUGGAAAGGAGGGAGAGUGUAGAGGAAUCAGACAUUGGGUGGGCCUGCCAUAGUCUAGAGGGCAAGUUCAUCCAGGCUCCCUUAUGUUUGUUCAGGCCCUGUACACGUGACUCAUGGUGUCAUUAGAACAGCUGUGUGACACAGGGAAUCUUUCUAUCUUACAGAUGGUAAGUGAGAGCUCAGUGACGUAAAGCCAAUAAGUGAUAGCACAGGACUCCAAACUUGAAUCUAUCUGAUGCCUAACCCACUUCUUCCCAACUUCACAUUGCCUUCAGCUAGAAGUAUGCAAGUGUUUUAACAAAAUUCUUUUUCAUAUUUUGCCAUGGUAGCAGCAAAGGCUGCAUAUAUCCCAACCUCUUUCAGCUUAGCUCACCAUAAAACUCUGGAUCAGAGAUCUACUUUAUCAGCUUUUUCUGAUUUUCCCUAGGGAAGAGAGAGUGACAAACACUCGGAGAAGGCAGAUAUCAUUAGUAUUAAAGAGAAGUGGAGGUUUAGGGGGAAAUAAAGCUGAAUAAAAAACAACGGGGCUUUGCAUCCCUGAGACAUGAGCCAGGAGGAGAUAAGGGAUUUAGAUGCAUAUCCCUCUAGGUUUUUGCUGUGUUCUAACAUGGAACUGUCUGGGUAGAGUUACAACUGCAAUUUUGUGUGUGGAAAAUGGGCAUUAGAGAAGGCUCUUGUGGUACUGAGGGUUAAAUCCAGGGCCUCAUUCAUGCUAGGUAAGCAGUCUACCACUGAGCUGUAUCCCCAGCCCCUCGCCCUUUAUUUUCCUUUUAGAGUUAGGUAUAUAAUGAAUCAAAGGGGACCCUGGGAGCUGAGGAUGAAGCUCUAUGGUAGAGUACUUGCCUAGCAUGUAUAAGGCCUUUGGUUCAAUUCUCAACACAGCAGGACAAAUAAAAAAAAGUUUUCUGAAUGCUUUUCAACAUUUUUUCUUAUCUACUGCACUGGUUAGAUUAACUUCCAGUAUUCUGUAGGUAGAAGCAACAAUAGCUAUCAUCCUAUUUUAUCAUUGAGUUAGAACUUGGAGGGUAGGUGGCUCUGGUAGAAUUCUUGCCCAGUAUGCAUGAGGCCCUGGGUUCCCUCCCUGGCACCAUACCACCCCCCAACCCCCCUACCCCCAUAAAACUAAACAAAACCCAAACACCUCUAGUGUUUCCCACCAAUCUUGGAACAGGUGUUUUAGUUGCAGCACAUAUGGACUCCUUGAGUAACACUCAAGUCCCUUUUCUUCCCUGGCGUCUUUUGGGCACAGUGAGGGGCACAGGGGAUUGAGCCCAGGGGCACUUAACCACUGAUCCACAUCCCCAGUCCCUUUUUUGUAUUUUAUUUAGAGACAGAGUCUCACUUAGUUGCUUAGGGCCUCGUUAAAUUGCUAAGACUGGCUUUGAAUUCACAACCCUCCUGCCUUAGCCUCCUGACCAGCUAGGAUUACAGGCAUGUGCCACCGUGCCGUGCCCAGCUUCCCUGGAUCCUUCAUAGUCUCUGGACAUUAUAGCAUCAGUUUAUGUUUAUGUUUUGCCAGAAGACAAAGGACCAGUGCUGAAAAGGAUACAAAGUUAAGGAACAUUUUUUUUUUCUUUUUUGUUAAUGGGAAUUAAACCCAGGGGUGCUUUACUACUAAGCAACAUCCCCAACCUUUUUUAAAAUUUUGAGACAGGGUCUCAUUCGGUUUCUGAGGGUCUCACUAAAGUGUUGAGGCUGGCCUUGAACUUGGCAGUCCUUCUGCCUCAGACUCCUGAGUCACUGGGAUUAUUGGUGUGUGCCACCAUGCCCAGCUAAGGAGCAGGAUUUUUAACAUUUCAACUAAGUUGGUCUUAGCUCUGAUAUUUACUUGUUUUAUGACAGUGGAUGAGUGACUUGGCCUUUUGAAGACAGUUUCAUCCACUGAGGAAUGGGAAAAAUAAUGCCUAUUUCAUAGACUAGUUUUAGGGUCAUGUAGCUUAUGUAAAGUGCCAAAUAUCAUAGGUAAUAUCAUAUUACCAGGUGUAUCAUAGGCACUCAAUCUCAUAUCAUUGGGAGGCUCAUGAUGCCUUAGAGAUACUGGUGAGAGCUUCUGUCUAGGAAGGGCAGCUUUGUGGUUGUGUGACUGGUGCAGUCAUCCCGGACACCUUGCUCAGAAGGGCCCAGCACUUAGUUUAAAGCUGUGUUAUGGCCAUCUUGUAAUUUUGAAUUUCUGACCAAGGGUCCUCAUUUUAUACUGUGCUUGCAAACAAUGUGGCCAGUCUUGUUUUCAGAAUGGCUUCAGUUUGGGUCCUUCUUUUUGGGAGCUAUACUACCACUGAUUUCCUAGGGAAUAACUCCCUUGGAAUUAAUACAUAAUUUACCCAUAAAUAAAUUAGGGCUAGCAUCCUGUGUAUGUUUAAGUGUUCCAUUCUGGCAUAACCUCUGCAGCCUGUCUCAGAAAGGGAUACUCUGUGUUUUACAGAAUAUAUGAGGUCCUGAGAAAUUCCACUGGGGUGCCUAGUGAAGUAGAACCAGGGAAAGAUCUAGGUUCAAAACCCUGCUAAGCCCUUCCUGGCUGAGUUCCUUGGACAAGAUAAUGUCUCUGUCCUACUGGUAAAAUCUAUGUUGCAGGCGAAUUACAUUUUCCUUAUUGGUAAAAUAUAUAUCUCAGGGGAAUUAAACAGGUAAUUUAUGUAAAGUGAACUUUCAGCAGAAAAUCUGGCACAUAGUAGGUGUUCAAUCACUAUUAAUUCUUCCAGUUCUUGCCAGAACGAACAAAAAUCAGGGCACUAG